CCGGGAUCCCAGCGCGGGCUCCGGCGCGGACUCCCGCGCGGGCUGCGGAAGUCCCGGCAGAGCCGAGCCUGGCCCUGCAAAGUCGCUCUGGCCCGGCCCAUCUGAAUUCUCGGCUCCCAGAACUUUCCAAUGUGCAAUGCAGAGUUAGGUUGGGUUUGGAUUCCCGCACAUCCACAACCGCCCCAUCCCCGUUCGUUACUAAAAUCACUUUAACUGUAAAAUGUACCCGCAAAGGCAAGCAGUGUCCUCGGAUACUGAAGUUCGCUACAAACAGGUGCCACACCCAUCAUGAAUCCCAAUGUAGGGCUUGAACUCACGACCCUGAGAUCAACACCUGAGCUGAGAUCAAGAGUCAGUUGCUUAACCAGCUGAGCCACCCAGGCACCCCAAUAAUUCUGAUUUUUAAGAAGGUGUACUAUUCUAAGGAGAAAGUCCGUGGCUUUCAUUGGAUCCCAAAGCGUUCUCUCAACCCACAGAAACUAAAGAGAUGGAUCCAGUCCACGCUCACCUUUCUCGGAUGAGGAAACUGACAGGUCCCAGAGAUAGUUACGUCUGCAAAAAGUGUCAGGGAAGCUGGAACUCAGGAGCGCGAGCUGGAGCCCACAAAGACAGACUGGAACCUGUUCCAGUGUCUGCCCCUUGCAGUAUUUUCUCUGAGAUAAAUCCGACUUUCUGCACCUUUAAGGUAUUCUGUAACCUGUGCCUAGUUUCAUUCUCAAGAAUGUAGUUGAAUAGUAAAUUCUAAGACAGCUAUCCUAAAAUUGUUGCCAAUACAGCGGUUUUUAACUUUUGGAGGUGAUCAGUAUAUGCCACCCUAAGAUAUGCCACUCUGACAUAUUGCUAGAUGCUUUUGAGCUGAAGGUAAUUGGAAAGGGCGGACCAGGAAGAGCUCUUUGCCCUCCUCCUUUCUGCCUCAAAGCAGGGCACAUGUUCCCUCUGUGAAGGUGAUACACAUUUCCAUUUGUAGGCUGUUCCUCCCAGGAGGAUCAGAGAGGCACUGAGAUGAGAGGAUAGGAGAGUGAGUCUGUGUAACAAACCUUACUCUCAAUUACUGUGCAUUUCCUAGUCCCCUUCCCACAAUUUAUUGCCCCGAGCCCAGUCCCUGCCUAGUUACUUCUCUACAAUUUAUUGCCCUUUCUUAAAAUUAUAUAUUUAUAGCCCAACUCUAAAUGCUUCUUUGGGUUUUUACUUUUUUUUGAGAGAGAGAGAGAGAGAGCACAGGCGCACUUGAGUGGGGAGGAAGAAGGAGGGGAAGAAGGAGAGGAGAGAUAGGGAGACCCCAAGCCAGCUCCACGCCCAGCACAGAGCCCAACACAGGGCUCCAUCUCAAGAACCUGACAUCAUGACCUGAGAAGAAAUCAACAGUUGGCUGCUUAACCAACUGAGCCACCCAGGUGCCCCUGGGUUUCUACUUCUUUUCUACGAAGCUCCUAUACCCUUAAAGAUAUUAACAUCAAUUAAAAAUAUAUAUAU